ACUGAACCAAGAUGGCGGAAGGGUUAACAAGACGACAACUUGACACUCCAGGAAACCACAUCGUGAGGCGUUGUUCAGAUGCGUGGAAACAAAGGGACCGCCAAGUUCCGACUCUUGUUUACUGGUAAUGCGCAUUACCACUCAUAUAGCCCAGCAGCUUCUUUGUGCAAGGUACUUUCUCCAUCACUGCCUUAAGUGGACCUGAAUUGAGCUGGACCUGAUAUGAAGUAGACUAAAGUGAGCCGGACCUGAAGUUAAUUGGACCUGCAGUUAACUGGACCUGCAGUGAGCUGGACCUCUGGUGAACUGGAACUAAAGUUAACUAAACCUGAUGUUACUGGACCUGCAAGUGAAUUCAGAUGCGUGGAAACAAAGGGACCGCCAAGUUCCGACUCUUGUUUACUGGUGAUGCGCAUUACCACUCAUAUAGCCCAGCAGCUUCUUUGUGCAAGGUGCUCUUCUUCUUCUUCUUUUUUACAGUAUUUUUUUAUUUUUAUAAAACAUGUUGGGAUUUAGUUAUUAUUUAUAUGAAAAUGUAAUAUUAUUUUAUUUUUAUUAUAUUUUUGUCGUAAAUGCGAAUAAAAUAAUGACGUCAAUUGAAUUGGGUCCUAAAUUAACUAGGGUCUUACACAUGAAUCGUCGUUGGUCGAACCGUCGUUAUCGGAGGCUUUACUGUACAGUACAGUAAUCCAGACUGGGAAGUACGUGAGAUUUGUACAGAUUAAGGAGCAUUUAUCUAUCUUUGUGUUAGAGGGUUUGUUUUAUAAUUCCCUCAUCUUGGUCAGUGCUGCCCCCACUUGUGCUGCCUUCAGUGACUGACCUAUUACAAUGCCAAGUGUUAUUAACAGAAUAAUGUUGAUUUGUGUUGUUUUAUCCUACAUACAGAGUCAUGCAUUUUGCAUUGUUAAAUUUUUUUGGCCAGUCUCAAGACCAUUUGAACAGCUUAUGGUUGCAACAUCGUCUUGACUUGCUACCUUCUCAAAUACUGUACAGUGUCGUCUGUAAACUUGGCAAUGUGGCUAAAUAUAUUUUCAUCUUUGUCGUUUAUGUAGAUCUCAAACACAGUGGAUCCAAGGAUAGAGCCUUGUGCUACACCACUGAGGACCUUUUUCCAUUCUGAAUGUACUCCAUUUAUGACCACCCUUUGAGUCCAGUCGUCAAACCAGUUGUUAAUCCACUUCAAAAUUUUGCCUGUGAUACAAUGUGGCUAGAUUUUAGAGGCUACCUGUGAAUUUGGGACUUUGUCAAGUGCCCGAGAGAAACCCAUGUAUGCACACUUAUUGUCAAGAGUUUGCUCGUCCCAAAAUUAUAUAAAACAGCAUACCUACAUCAGUUGACAGUCAGGGUUAGUUAGGUCAGAGAAUUGGUUUUACCACGAGGAGCAAAAUUAGACCACAACUGUACAACGCAUCCACUGGUGGGGGGGGGGGGUGCAUCCCCCUCUACAAUCGAGUUGGAAUGUUUCCUAUACCUGGAUAAUCAUCCCCCCUUACAAUUAAUGUAAUUCUUAAUAUAACCAGGGGAGCACUCUGAGAUUCAGAGUUUUCAUUGUCUGGUUGAUUCUAUCAUUUUGAAGGGACAUCCAUGAGAACCCAGGGAUUAAAAAAGGAGUUAGUUUUGCACACGGGUUGCCCAAGAUAGGACGCCAUUAAUAAGUUUGUGUUUUUUUAAGUAAUUGGUGGAUUUUAUACUGGUAAAUACUUUAGUGAUGAAAUAAGAACAAUUUAGAGCAAUGUCAAACUUGUUUUCACAAAGACCAACAUAGUCUUGCUAGGCCAUUAUCCCCUCCUUUGAGCUGAGGUAGCUAGUGACAUUGAGGUCUAGCUGUUUCGGGUCACAUGAGUUGGCACAAUAGUUUUGGUAAUGCAAGUAUCAUGGGUCAGCCUAUCAGGCAGUCCUCGCAAGUCAUUUCUGCCAAACCAUUGUGCUUUUUAAAAUAAUAUAAAAGAUGUAUUUUGUUAUGGUUAUGUUCAGAGGCGCAUUUCAACAAUCAACAGAUCUACACCAGUGACUGGUAAGUCUUGGUCCAUGUAGUCUGUUAUCAUUUCAAGGAAAGUGAGUAAGUUUGUCAAGCAGGAUAGUCUCCAUGAUAUCCUAAGUCGUAUUCACAGACGUUACGCCACCCGACUGAUUGGGAGCGCCGUCAUGUGUGGUUAUUCGGAGAUGCCUACAGACCCAAAGGCAGUCCCAGUUGAUGGGUUUCCUAUUGAGAUUGUUGGAAUAAUUCAUCAGGAGGGGGUACCCAUUGUAUGGCAGUUGCAAUGCAUAUAAAAAUACCCUCCAAAUUUUGAUAUAUUGAGAUAAAAUAGAGUACUGUAUACAGCAUUCAAAACUGAUUGGAAAUGAGUUUGUUGGUGACCGAGUCUUAUUUUCCAUAUACAUAACGACAUUGAAAGAUUGUCAGUUAUUUACAAGUGUUAAAUAAUUCCGGCUGAUCAUGAGUGUGUUGCCGUGCAUCAACAGUCAAACGAAGCUUUUCUCUUAUCACAGCUCCAGGUGUCAGAUGCUUUGUCUAAAAUAAUUUUUCUCUUUUCUUGAAUAAGGCUAACUAGAGCACUGUGCUGUUUAAAAGACAGCGGCAUGCAGCAUUCAUGGCUAUCCAUAUAUACCACGUCGUGUUGUGACAGCUCACUUGUGGUGUACGUAUCAACCAUUGGCCAACCUAGUGUGGCCAACAAAUGGCUAAAAUUCAGCCUUCAAAACAAACCUGACAAACACAUAAUUGUGUGUGUGAUUGUUUGUGUUUGUUUGUUUGUUUAAGGGUAAUAUUUUGGGGGUACUUAAUAUCUGGGAUGUGGCAACAGCCGAUUUGGAAAUGUUGGUGGCUCUGCCCGGAGGAUUGGAUUCUGACCCAUCGUAGUUCCCGAAGCACUUUCUUGAAUAAUCUCUCCUUACACAAACUUAAAGAUCCCAAUGGUUAGGCAUGACAACUGUGAAUAUGGUCUCAUGUUGUGAUGCACUGAUCAGACUGCUUGGUCAGGUAUCAGGGUUGGAAUAAAUCAUGAUUUAAAAAAAAAUCGAUUUAUUUGAUUUAAAUCAGAUUUUUUUUAUUUAUAUCGAUU
rnacentral:lncRNA from 1 species